CUUGAGGGAAGUAGGGCCCUGUCCUUGACCACUUACCAGGGCCUGUCCCUCAUUCACCCGACCCAACUUUGCUGGGGGGUGUGAGGUGGGGUAAUUUAUUCAGUUCUAACCAGGAAAGGUAAAAUUAUAACAGGAUUAAUAACACAAGUGUCAUGGCCUUCCAAGGGCCCCAAGACGAUCCCAUCCCCCUUCCCUGCUCAGAACCUGCCUGUCCUGCACCCUGGCCUGUCCUCUGGAGGUUAUCUGAUGAGGGCCUAUUCUGAGGGAAGCCCUCCCUGACUGCAGGUGCCUCCUUAGACUCCUCCAUCCCGGUGCUGGAUCUGGCAUGACCUCUGAAGUGCCCGGUGUCCAGCCUGGCAGAGUGGACGACGAGAAACAGGGGGCCCAGGCCCCAGCUUCAGCAUCAAGCCACCCAGGACAUGCAUCUGGCCUUUUGGAAAAUAGCCUGGAGAAUGCAGAGGAGAGGCUGCAGUCAGGCUGGCUGUGGCUGGAAAGAACCUGCUGUGGAUGAAGUUGACCUGGGACCCACGUGACCUGAGUGAAAAGAGCUAUGGGUUUGCAGGGGACACCGGUGCCCUGCUGCAGGUGGUUCUAGAGCUAGCAAGAAGUACCUGUGGGCACACUGGAGCAUAGGCCUUGAUGUUUGCAGUGCUCCAGGCAAAAGGACAAGUGGAGGCUCACAUACCAGAAUCUAAAUAUUAAACAACCAUAAAUCAAGCUGCUAAUGAAAUGUGUUCUAUCCUCCUACUGAACAAAUAAGCUUUCAUAGGAGUAAAAACAUCUGUAAAUCUACAGUUUUUAUAUAUCUGAAAGUCAGCAGAUAUCCAAAAUGAUGAAACUUAGUAAUUAUCACUCAUGUCCAGGUGUUCAGUGACCUGAGGUUUAAGUGAGAGAAUGAAGACUUGCCUGAUGCCUAAGAUAUUCUGUAUUUAUUCUGUAACAUUGAUUCUCCUCGUCUUUAGUCUAGUAAAAUGAUUGAUUAUGUUGUUACAGUCAAGACUUCUACACUAUUACUGUUCUUUUCAUAGUAAUGAUUAAAAAGAUUAAAAUAAGGCUGGGCAUGGUGGCUCACACAUGUAAUCCCAGAGCUUUGAGAAACCAAAGUGACAGGAUUGCUUGAGGCAGGAGUUCAAGUUUACAGUAAGCUAUGACUAUACUACUGUACUCCAGACUGGGCAACAGAGCAAGACCCUGUCUAUAAAAAAAAUAAUAAUUUUUAAAAAGACUAAAAUAAAAUAUUGGCCAGGUGUGGUGGCUCACACCUGU
rnacentral:lncRNA from 1 species